rnacentral:rRNA from 1 species
UACGUAGGGUGCAAGCGUUGUCCGGAAUUAUUGGGCGUAAAGAGCUCGUAGGCGGUUUGUUGCGUCGGCUGUGAAAUCCCGAGGCUCAACCUCGGGUCUGCAGUCGAUACGAGCAAACUAGAGUGUUGCAGGGGAGACUGGGAUUCCUGGUGUAGCGGUGAAAUGCGCAGAUAUCAGGAGGAACACCGAUGGCGAAGGCAGGUCACUGGGCCGCAACUGACGCUGAGGAGCGAAAGCAUGGGGAGCGAACAGG